rnacentral:rRNA from 1 species
AGCGAACGCUGGCGGCAGGCCUAACACAUGCAAGUCGAACGGAUCCUUCGGGAUUAGUGGCGGACGGGUGAGUAACACGUGGGAACGUGCCCUUGGGUUCGGAACAACUCAGGGAAACUUGAGCUAAUACCGGAUGUGCCCUUCGGGGGAAAGAUUUAUCGCCAUUGGAGCGGCCCGCGUCUGAUUAGCUAGUUGGUGGGGUAAAGGCCCGCCAAGGCGACGAUCAGUAGCUGGUCUGAGAGGAUGAUCAGCCACAUUGGGACUGAGACACGGCCCAAACUCCUACGGGAGGCAGCAGUGGGGAAUCUUGCGCAAUGGGCGAAAGCCUGACGCAGCCAUGCCGCGUGAAUGAUGAAGGUCUUAGGAUUGUAAAAUUCUUUCACCGGGGACGAUAAUGACGGUACCCGGAGAAGAAGCCCCGGCUAACUUCGUGCCAGCCGCCGCCGUAAGAC